GCAGCCCAACCUUGGAAAUUUGGACUGGGCAAAAAUAAAAACGCCUAGACUCGGCAUCGCAGAUCGCAAAACAAAAAAAGAAGUAAUGAAGAAAGAAGAGAAGAUCAGAGAAGAAGAAGGGAGAUAAUCUUACCUAAGGGACUGAUCGUGAUCUCUUUUUUGGCUGCCAUCGAAAAGUAAUGUAUGAGGAGGAGGAGGAGGCGCAACGGCUAGGACUCCCAGCCUUCCAGUUUCAAUAAUAGCCUUACCCUUAUUUUUAAAACAAAGCCCAAACCCUUAUUUUUUAAACAAAGCCCAAGCCCUUUGUUUUAAAAACAAAGCCCACUCAUUUUUUUGAAUAAAGCCCACUUAUUUUUUUAAACAAAGCCCACUCUUUUUUUAAAACAAUGCCAAAACUCUUUUGUUUUUUAUAAAAAAAACAAAGCCCAAACUCUUUUUCUUUUAAAAUUCAAAGCCCAACCUCUUUCUUUAGAAGAAAGGCCAAAGUGAAAAAAGAAUGUGUGGCCAUUAAACUCAUCAGUUCUCUUAUGUAACAUUAAAAUUAUGCCAUAUUACAAAUAUUUCCCUCCCUUCCUAAUUAUACUUAAAGUUCUAAAGUUUACUAUGUUUCAAACUUCACUCCUAUACUUUCACUAAUAAAAUUUAAAUAAAAUAAAAUUAACUCCGCAUAGAGCACCGGCCUAGGAAAUUGCCUAGGUGCCACCUACAAGGCCUAGGCGCUCGAAGUCCCUCCACCGCCUAGGUUAGCGUCUAAGAGCUUGAAGAUGGUGAAUCCUUUUGUGUUCGAAUCAUAUUUAUGCAUAAUGUUCUACUUGCACGUCUUUUUGACUGAUUUGGUCUUUUCCCCUUUCAGCAAGUCUAAAGAUAUAUUUUUUCCUCUUGUUUAACUUAAUCUGUGCUCUCAUUUGGUGAUUUAUUAAUUUACAUGUGUUAUUGAAGGAAUAGAGUGCAACAAAUAGUUGGUUCCACACAUAAUUUGCACAGGGGCUCUGGAAAUGUGUUACCUCCACCAAUAGAUGAACACUUCAAUUACAGCAGUGCUACUGACAAGCCUAUUUUCAGAAGUGACCUGAAGGUAAAAUUUGUUGGUGUGUUAAAAUUUUGCUUGGCCUUUUAAAACUUGAAUUAGUAGUUUUUUGGGUGAUAAAAUAAUGUGGUAUGCUUAAUGAGAUGUGAAGAAACCUCAUUUGUGUUACAGGAGUCAAUUUUAUCUACAGCUUAUUAAGUUUCCAUUCUUGAUACUUGACUUGUUUGUUUCCGACAUUUUAAUCAGAUGCAUUUAUUAUUGUUUUCCAGGAUGUAGCUCUGGAUAUGGAAACAUCCAAUGCUCCGCCUUUAUCUAAAGAUAAAGAUGGAGGUGUCAGAGCACCUAACAAAAUGACUACCUUUGUAGAUAUUGUUGGACGGUCUAAUAGUUCUGGUCCAGAAAAGGAUGUAAAUGGGGCUGAAGAUAGGGGGGUUGUUAACGUAAGCUCUGAGUUGUCUUCAGUAGGCAUUCAUAAAGAUAAUCAUGUUGAGGCUGCACAUUCAGAUGCGAUGCUAUGUAGUUUUUCGUCUUCUAGUCCCCCUGCCAAUGGAUUUCCCAGUAAUAAAGAGUUUGAGCCAUUUAGAGAACCUUCAAAUCUUUGGGGCUUAGGAAGAGCUGAUGUAACUCCUAGUGGUGCAUUUACAAACGAAAAAUCUGGGUUGAUAUUAGAUUCUGAAAAACAAAUUUUACGUGGUCCAUGUAGUGCUGUGAAAGAUGAUUCUCUAUCUCUUAAUGAUGAAAGAUUGAAAGAUUCUGAAAGUUUAAGUCAGAUAGCUCCUCUGCAUCCUUCAUCUUAUCUUUCAAAGACUUCAGAGGAUUCUAGUAUUCAUGCCUGGUGGCAUGGAGAGUCUCGUAAUCUUAAUGACUAUAAUGUGGAUGAAGAUUCUAUGGCAUGUUUAAAUUCAAUGAAUGACGGAUGCAAUGAGAAAAAAUUUCAAAGUUCUGCUAAAUCAGAUAAGAUAUAUAGAUGUUCUAAUUCGUUCUCCAAUGAAGAAAUAGUAGAGCACUUGAGAAGGCUUGAUGAUGACGACAGGAUUCAUGAUGCUCAGAAUCCUAUGUUAGAGGCCGUAGAGAGCAGUAUAAUUUCAAAUAUCAUGUCGCUAAAUUUUGAUGGGGAUGAUAAUUCAUCGACUUUGCAUCCUAGUGUAGCUGGAUUAUUUGAUCAAACUGAUGGGCGACAAGGUUCUUCGUGGAACCUUUAUAACAAUGACCAAUCAGAGUUCUCAUUCGUAAAGCAAGUGGGUUUUGUGAAUCAGGUAACUGAUUUGGACUCCUUAAGUGAUAGUGGUCAGCACUUCAAGAAAUGUUCUUCGCAUCAGGACUUGGGGGAAAGCAAGGAGCACUACUCAUGUAAACCUCAGUAUCUUGGUAAGUAUCAAUUCUUUUCUUUUUUAAUCUGUUCAAUUAAACAAAACCUAUCUGCUUAUUGUUUCUAAUCUAUAAAAAGUUUGUUUAUCUUAAUAUCUUUGAACAUUUUAGGUAUGUACUACCUCUUUUCUUCUUCUUUUUUACCCAUCAAAACCUACUUGUGGCUGUUAUGUAUUAAACCCACAUCAUAGCGUGUUCAGACUUCCUGAUUUCCAGACCCCUAGUGUGGUCAGGACCCUUUCAACCCCUGUGGAGAUGCGGUCUUUUAAAAAGAAUUGUAGAAUAUUGAUAUACUAUGGAUGGUUGACUAUAUGCUUCACUUGUAAUUGUUUUCAAUGCAUUUUGUUCUUUUAAUAAAUCUUUAUUUCAAGAUUUAGUUGAUUGCAAUUUGCAACUGAUUGUAGAGUGUGUAGUGGGAAGAAAUAUAUGAAUUUUGAUAUUCUCUGGAAUAGGUGUCGACUAGGAAAUUUCAAUUCGACUGCUAUUGCACAUCUUGUAACAUUGUACAGUAUCUGGCAACCUAAUAUUAGUUGGUUUUGAUCCCGUUAUCAGUGGCCAGGUCUAUUAGCUUUUAAAAGUCUAAACCAUAUGAUUGUAGCUAAUCUCACAGUUAGUUUUUUAAGUGCCAAUCUCAAAGGGGAUCAAGUUGUAAACUGUAGUUUAAAGGUACACAGAUGAUAGUUUAUGGUUUGUAGGUCUUCCAUCCUGCCAUUUGAUUGCAUACAUUGUGUUCUAGUAGUAAUCAAUUGUUGUUUCCAUGUAAUAACUUUCGAGUCUUUUCCCUAAUAUUGUGUUGUUUUAUUUUAAUCAACAGUGUCCAGGUCUCAAGGCCUGGCUCCACCAGGAUUUUCCUUGCCAUUAAGAGAACCACCUCCUGGAUUUCCUGCAUCUGAGAGAUCAGAUCUGGUUUUCCAUGCCAACUCUGGUACAAUUUUCUCUCUCUCUCUCUCUCUCUGGGCUGUCUCCCUUGUUAGUUCAUGAUUUUUGUAUACUACGCGUGUACUUAGGCAGCAUCCUCUUUUGAUGGUUUCUUCCUUAUAUAUACCAUCAAUUAUUUAUCAGAAAAACACAUAUCCUUCAUCAUCCCCCCCACCAAAUGAUGAGUCAUUGGAUUGCUUACACUUUGUUCCUUUUUAUACGCCUUUCAUUUCUUUCAGGGACUCACAUGGUCAAGGCGACUUCUUUUUCGAAAAAUCAUUAUCGAACACCCUCAACUGGAAAUAGUAGCAACACUAGCGAUGCUGAUAUUAUUGAUCCAGCCAUAAUGUCUGUUGGUAGAGGUAGACCAACAAAUGGAUUAACCAACUCAUGUUUAGAUAUGAGGUCAACUUAUGCUUCGCAACCAAGUGCAUUCGAUGAUGAGGCAAGACUUUGGCUAUUGAUGCAACAAUCUGCUCCUGCACAUCAAGACUCGAAAUAUGCUCAAACCUACAUGCAACAACAACAAGCUCCAACUGCACAUCAAGACUUGAAAUAUGCUCAAACCUACAUGCAACAACAAGCUGCUCAAACCUACAUGCAACAACAGGCUCCAACUGCACAUCAGGAAGUUAGAAAUUCCGGUCAAAUUGGGGAUAGGUAUUCUUCUUGGGAUGAUAUAUAUGGUGUCUCU
rnacentral:lncRNA from 1 species